AUGUUAGCGGCGGACGGGUGAGUAACACGUGGAUAACCUACCUAUAAGACUGGGAUAACUUCGGGAAACCGGGAGCUAAUACCGGAUAAUAUUUUGAACCGCAUGGUUCAAAAGUGAAAGACGGUCUUGCUGUCACUUAUAGAUGGAUCCGCGCUGCAUUAGCUAGUUGGUAAGGUAACGGCUUACCAAGGCAACGAUGCAUAGCCGACCUGAGAGGGUGAUCGGCCACACUGGAACUGAGACACGGUCCAGACUCCUACGGGAGGCAGCAGUAGGGAAUCUUCCGCAAUGGGCGAAAGCCUGACGGAGCAACGCCGCGUGAGUGAUGAAGGUCUUCGGAUCGUAAAACUCUGUUAUUAGGGAAGAACAUAUGUGUAAGUAACUGUGCACAUCUUGACGGUACCUAAUCAGAAAGCCACGGCUAACUACGUGCCAGCAGCCGCGGUAAUACGUAGGUGGCAAGCGUUAUCCGGAAUUAUUGGGCGUAAAGCGCGCGUAGGCGGUUUUUUAAGUCUGAUGUGAAAGCCCACGGCUCAACCGUGGAGGGUCAUUGGAAACUGGAAAACUUGAGUGCAGAAGAGGAAAGUGGAAUUCCAUGUGUAGCGGUGAAAUGCGCAGAGAUAUGGAGGAACACCAGUGGCGAAGGCGACUUUCUGGUCUGUAACUGACGCUGAUGUGCGAAAGCGUGGGGAUCAAACAGGAUUAGAUACCCUGGUAGUCCACGCCGUAAACGAUGAGUGCUAAGUGUUAGGGGGUUUCCGCCCCUUAGUGCUGCAGCUAACGCAUUAAGCACUCCGCCUGGGGAGUACGACCGCAAGGUUGAAACUCAAAGGAAUUGACGGGGACCCGCACAAGCGGUGGAGCAUGUGGUUUAAUUCGAAGCAACGCGAAGAACCUUACCAAAUCUUGACAUCCUUUGACAACUCUAGAGAUAGAGCCUUCCCCUUCGGGGGACAAAGUGACAGGUGGUGCAUGGUUGUCGUCAGCUCGUGUCGUGAGAUGUUGGGUUAAGUCCCGCAACGAGCGCAACCCUUAAGCUUAGUUGCCAUCAUUAAGUUGGGCACUCUAAGUUGACUGCCGGUGACAAACCGGAGGAAGGUGGGGAUGACGUCAAAUCAUCAUGCCCCUUAUGAUUUGGGCUACACACGUGCUACAAUGGACAAUACAAAGGGCAGCGAAACCGCGAGGUCAAGCAAAUCCCAUAAAGUUGUUCUCAGUUCGGAUUGUAGUCUGCAACUCGACUACAUGAAGCUGGAAUCGCUAGUAAUCGUAGAUCAGCAUGCUACGGUGAAUACGUUCCCGGGUCUUGUACACACCGCCCGUCACAGCCACGAGAGUUUGUAACACCCGAAGCCCGGUGGAGU
rnacentral:rRNA from 1 species